rnacentral:lncRNA from 1 species
GUCCAUAUCAACACAAUUCAAACAGUACUAUUUUAAUAGUAUUUAGUUUACUAAGUGUUUCUUAAUUAUUACACUUUAAGUAUGCUUCUUUUUGUCUUGGGUAGACACAUGACCUUUAAAACGUAACUACUUCUCUAUUCAAACUUGUCUUUCACCAAUGACAUCCUGUGAAGUCACAUUGACGGGUUCAGGCUCCCACGAAAAAUGACAUUCAUAACAGAUAUGGCAGCUGGACUUCUCUUGUUGGUUAUCCUCCUUUUCUUCCUCCCUCAGCCCAGUCUGACAGGGAUUCCUACACUCAUCAGAGAGAGACACUCAGUUCAGAUGACGGUUGACACUCCUCCACCUGUCUCUGUGUCUCACUAUCCAUCAACACACAGUGACCCUGUUUCUUUGAGGAUUCUGGGUGAACUACAGAAACCAGAGAUAAAUAUAAAUGACGAGUCUUCUGAUGUCAUCUCUAUUACCUGUGUUCUACCUGAGUCUGCCAGUGAUGGUAGCACAUGUCACCUAUACACUGGAGACCAGCCUCAUCCUUACAAAGAGACUCAGGCCAGAAGGAUGAGGACAUCAUCAUCCACUCAGGUGAUCUGCAUAUUCAGUGUGUCUAAGAGUGACCUGUUCAGAGGUCUGAAGGUGAGGAGAGAUGUGAGCUGUGACUACAGAGAGAACAUAGACUCCCACUCUGUCUCCCCACGCAGUGAUGGAUACAACUUCAUAGUUCAGAAACCACUGAUUUCUUCCAGUCAUAAUGAGGAGAAGAUCUUCAUCACCUGUGAGAUUCCUGGACACGCUGGUAAUGACACAACCUGUAACCUGUAUGUUGGAGACCAGAGUCAUCGUAUCCUGAAGACAAAGAUCUGGAGAAAAAAAUCAUCCAGUUCAAAUCUAUGGUUCUGUCAGUUCACUGUGACUGAAGAUGAUCUGAUCAGACAUCUACAGUCAGUAGGGAGUCAGAAGGUGAGCUGUGACUACAGAGUGAGUUCAGGACGAAACUCUCUCUCUCCACGUAGUGACGGGUACAUUAUAACAAAUCUAUUGGGAGAUCUUAUGAUCAUUGAUCCAACAACUAAACAGACAUCCUCUACAGCAGCAGGUUCAACUGUUAGUACUGUUAGUACUGUUAGUACCCACAAAGCCCCAGUGAGACCAACUAGCAAUUUGCUAACUAAUACUGCUUUGAUCCCCAAAACCCCACUGAGGCCAACUACCAGUUCAACCUCUUCUUUGACCCCCAUGGCAACUACAUCAGGUUCGACUGUUAGUUCUCAUUUGACAUCCAAAAUCUCUGUGAGACCCAUUACCAGUUCAACCACUGCUUCUAGCACCCUGGCAACUUCAUCAGUUCCUGCUGAAGAGAACGAACAGUCAACUGGAAAUGGCAAUUCUGGUAUAUACCACAUGUACUGCUCAGUCCCUGAUCGACCAGCAACUUCAGCCCAGACAGUUGGGCUGUAGAGUCUUCUGCAGACACACUGAAACUACACCACUGGUUUUCUGUUGCUACAUUUAAAAGGUCUCAAACAAAUAGCCUAUUUUUAACAUAAUGUCUUUAGUUCACAUCACUUUACUUGAAAUUAUCACUGACACCUGACUUUUGUUACAUAUCCAUAAUAUCUAUUUUGGUGUUUAAGUAAUUCGGGACAUAUUCUUUUUGUAUUUGUUUCUUCUUUUGCCCCUAGUAAAUUAUGUUAAAUCUGCAGUAUUAAUGUUUAUUGUCAGCUGUGUGAGGAGUUUUUCCAUAGUGCUCUGAUUCAGUUUCCAAUAUUUAUUCCAGUAUUUGGAGUAAAAAUUUAUAUCAAUUGAUGCCUUUAUUGUAUACUCACACAUUAUGCAACAUGCAUAUUGGAUAUCAAAUUACUUUAAUUAACAUUAAUUAGUAAUGGAUCCAAACAGAAUUUCAUCCGAUAAAUGUAAUUAAUUCAACAAUAUGCAUUCUAAAUGUAAUGUGGUGUUGUAAGGGACAGGUCUGGAAACAAACGAAAGCCAGUGGUAAAAGUAGGGUGACUGGUAGGAAACCGGUGUGCCUAAUUGUCUGGUGAUCAUGGGAAGGGCGUUGGAUAGUGAGUGUCCGGGGAGCUGAUGACAGAACAGGGCAUUGGGUUGGGAGUGACGGGGUGGCCGGUGAUUAGAAGACCGGGGAGGUUGAUCUCCUCAGCGGGGGAGGAGUCAUCGUGGGUGACCCAGAUGUGGCAGUAAGCUACUGUACUCUGAUUAAAGGUGUAUAUACUUCUGGUUAGGCCCAAACUGUAUUUCAUGGUACUGUACUUGUUCAAUGACAAUAAAGCUGAAUCUAAUCUAAUCAACCUGACAUGUGGUGGAGAGAUAAUUAUGUAUGAAAGUGUGAAUAUGUUCACUCAUUUAAUUUUUUAUAUUUAUUAUAGCAAUUUGUCACAUCCUAAAGUUAAUCUUUGUACUGAAAUUAUUUUAAAUACUAUAUAUUAGAUUAUAUAUGAACUCAAAUAUUUAAAAUAAUUGUUCUCCCUUCCUUAAUGCCAAAAAUCCUCAUGAUCUCUGAACAACCCUUGCUCCUCCUUCCCUUGUUAUUUUGACAUUUUAAGUCAUUUUAAAUUUCAAACUCUUAUCCCCACACACACACCGUUCAGGAAGUUACUGUAUAUUAUGUGAUUGCAUUUACUCCAGUUUUCACAUUUUCUAAGUCACAUGUAGAUGAAAUCAUAUUGUAAAAUGUAUUUUCAUUAAUUCUACUGAAACUAUUCUUUGUAUUGACAUUGCCAUUUAGGUUUGUAUGGAAUUUAGCCCACUGAAAUAAAACAUCUGUUUGUCUUUAAACGUGCACCGCUCUCUUGGUUUUCAUUGGUUGGAAGUUGUUGUCUCUCCUAUUUUGUCUUCUAA